UACAGAGGUCCCAAGCGUUGUUCGGAUUCACUGGGCGUAAAGGGUGCGUAGGCGGCCGGGUAAGUCUGACGUGAAAUCCCGCAGCUCAACUGCGGAACUGCGUCGGAUACUAUUCGGCUCGAGGAAUGGAGGGGAGACUGGAAUUCUCGGUGUAGCAGUGAAAUGCGUAGAUAUCGAGAGGAACACCAGUGGCGAAGGCGAGUCUCUGGACAUUUCCUGACGCUGAGGCACGAAGGCCAGGGGAGCAAACGGG
rnacentral:rRNA from 1 species